AACCCGCCUUCUCCACAUCCUAGAUAAUUCCUUUCACUACCAGGCUACUCUGGUUCUAGAUGCUCCUUCCUCCUAUUCCUUGAACUACCCUGCCAGUUGUUCAUUUCUCUGCAUGACUAAUGCCCCCAUGUUUAGGUUACCUUUUCAGAGAAGGAAGAUGUGGAUUUGAGUACCUCCAUGAGGCUUGGGAGAAAAGGUGGAAUAUGUCUCAGGUCCUGUACUAUGUUUAUACCAAGAAAACUCACAAGUGAGUUUCCAGAAGUGCAACGGACUUGAGAUGAGCAGAUGCUGUCUAGUUCCAGCUCCUUGUAUUGCAGACACACUAUUUCAGUCUGAUGUGGAGCAGAGUGGUUCCUUCAGGGGGCUGGGGGAUACAACUGAGAAGUAGUUUGCACUACAGUCCACGUUAUAUAGAAUGGACAUAGACCUGUCUAUAUGUCAUCCCUGCAAGAUAGGAGUCUUCGUUCUUUGAUGGGGGGAGAAGAAAAUCUCAAGCUCUGUCAUAAUCAGCUGGCUUAUCUCCAAUAAUUCCAAACUAAUUUAAGCAGCCAAGAACUGGGUGUUAACUUCUCUUAUAUGUCAGGAGAAUAGGUAAGAAAAUAAAACAAAACUAAUCAGUCAAACUGUAGCAGAUCUUUACUCUGUAGCAGUGGGAGGAGAGAGUGAGAUCAGCGGUUCUGCAAAGGUGAAGUGACCAGCUGACUUCUUUGUCUGCUAGCCUGCAUGUUCUCCACUAGCAAAGCAAGAGGCAAGACAUUUCUACCUGCUACUUUGUGAAUAAGGGGCUUUCCCAUGCAGUCACUCUGCUCAAUGAAGCUGUGUCCUGGUGACAGUCCUCCCGAAGACAGUUUAUGCCUCCAUAAUUUCAUUUCUUCUUGCAUCACACCUGUGGAAAGAAACAACUUAGUUAAUGACAAGAGUGAUGCAUAGCUUUAAUUCUCAUUGUUAUGAAUAUGAGCAAGGUCCCAUGAGAACACUGGAAGUAAUUACAUUAUAUUUUCUUCUGCCUUAGCUACUGGGGCUGGCUUUGUUCAUAGCAGAUUUUACAAGAAUUUCUUGCCAUCUUUAAGCCUGGCAUUUGACAAUUCUGCCUUGAAAUAGUUUAGGAUGUGUCAUUUCAAUGCUGAAGAACAGACAAAGGCAUUUGUUGCUGAGCUACCUUCCAUGAAAGAAACAAUUCCUGAGCUACCUUCCAUGAAAGAAACAAUUCCCACCUCCUGGGAGUUUUCAAUUUUUUCUGUUAGUAUUAAAGUAUCACAUGUCCACACUGCAUUGUAAUGGAUUACUUGGUUUUGUAAUUUCUUUAUUUAAGAACAAAAGCAGUCUAUUUCAAUUUAUAUAUAAUAUGUAUUUCUAUAAUUUGAGUUUAGUCUUUUAGAGUCAUAGAAGGCAGAGUACAGUAGGUUAACACAAAACACUAUGAACUGAAUUCUGAAAAUACAAGUCACAUGCUUCUAUAUAUUGUGUGUAGGAAGACAAGAUUUCCUUUUCCAUGUGCCAAAUAGGCUUCUAUUUAAAACAUAGUAAUGCAAAAAUGUGUUAUUAGUCAA